GUGCAUGUCCCUGCUGAGUCAUCUUGUCCCCGAAUUUCUGUUUUGUUUUGUUUAAGACAGGUCCUUACCAUGUACCACUGGCUGGCCGGGAAGUCACUAUGUAGAUGGACUGGCCUCAAAUUCAGAGAUCUGCCUGCCUCCACCUCCUGGACACUUCAGUUAAAAGAACUGUCUGUCCCGCCCAUCCCAGAGCAGAAGAAACAUUAUCACACUUUCCCAGAACUUGGGCUCCGCCCUGUGUGGGCGCCAGCGUGUCCCUGGCAUCUACAGCAGUCUGUGGGGUUCAUAUGGUAUUUGGAGAAAAACAAUUGGGAAAAGAUACUAAGGAGGGGGAAGAGAGACGGCGCAGCAGCGAAGAGCUUUUGCAGAGGACCCGAGUUCAUUUCCCAGAACCCACAGGAAUCUCACAACCGACUGAAACUCCAGCCCCAGGGCAUCUGACACCUUUUGCCCUCUGAGGGCAUCCUCGUGUAUGUGACAGACAGACUCACAGCGUGCACACAAUUAAAAACAACUCUUAUAAAACAAAUAAAUAAAGAAAUGAUAUAAAAAUAGUUG